rnacentral:rRNA from 1 species
GACGAACGCUGGCGGCGCGCCUAACACAUGCAAGUCGAACGGAGCUGAGAGAAGCUUGCUUUUCUUAGCUUAGUGGCGAACGGGUGAGUAACGCGUGAGUAACCUGCCCUGGAGUGGGGGACAACAGUUGGAAACGACUGCUAAUACCGCAUAAGCCCACGAUCCGGCAUCGGAUUGAGGGAAAAGGAUUUAUUCGCUUCAGGAUGGACUCGUGUCCAAUUAGCUAGUUGGUGAGGUAACGGCCCACCAAGGCGACGAUUGGUAGCCGGACUGAGAGGUUGAACGGCCACAUUGGGACUGAGACACGGCCCAGACUCCUACGGGAGGCAGCAGUGGGGGAUAUUGCACAAUGGGGGAAACCCUGAUGCAGCGACGCCGCGUGGAGGAAGAAGGUUUUCGGAUUGUAAACUCCUGUCGUUAGGGACGAUAAUGACGGUACCUAACAAGAAAGCACCGGCUAACUACGUG